UCCAGGUUUGGGUCAUGGGGGCAGCAGUCUAAGCAGAGAAGGCUCGACUUCCCUCAAGCUGACCACGCCUUCCAGUUCAUACAAGGGGGACACCGAGUUGUUGCCAGGACAUGCCCAAAACACCUCACCCAGAAGGCAUCCAGGAGGCAUCCUUAUCAGAUGCCCAAACCACUUCAGCUGGCUCCUUUUAAAGUGGAGGAGAAGCAGGUCUACUCUGAGUCCCUUUUGAAUGACCAAGCUCUUCAUCCCAUCUCAAAGGGAGAGCCCAGCCACCAUCGAAGAAUGCUUGUAUCCUUACCGAAAAUGUACUGUUCCAAAACCAAACUGUGAUAUUUAUCUUUAGGUUCUUUAUCUUUUGAUUAGAUCUUAGAUUGAGACACUUGAAACUUUCAUUUGGUCAGUUUGUAUUAAAGUACCAUAUGUCUAAUAUUAAUUUAGUUCCUUUUUAUUCUGAUUUUUGGUUUUGUACAAAACAAAACAAAACAAAACAAAAUGGUAAUCUCAGACUGGUUUGUCAUGAGGGAAAUCUGAACAAGGAGACAAAACAGUCAUCUGGUUACUGGUCAGCCACUCUAGUCUCACCCAAGAUGCUCAUCCAUAAUUUUUAUCUGGCCAUCCAAACACAACAGGCUAGACCUGGCACUUCUUCACACUCUUAACUGAUAAUUAUGACCAAAGUCCAUGAUGCCCAUCCAAAGUUCACCACAGUCUUGGACACACAUGUGAUGCAUGUCACACAUAUGUGAUGCAAUACCCUUACAAAACAAGACGGAAAAUCCCUUACAUUUAAUCCAGUCUAGGCUUAGACACAGGAUCAUCUCCACAUCAUUGCUCAGGAAUAUAAGAAGGUUAUGUGGUCAGUAAGAUCAAAAUGUACCACAUGUUUGUCAUCUGUAUAAGAUGCCUCAUGCAUUUAAGUAUAUGCACGAAACGAAUGAAUGGCUUAUUGUCAUCUUUGAGAAAGGUUUUAUUUAUUUAUUUAUUUUUUUAAUAAAAUGACUUCUAAAUACUUUACCAGAUUAUUUGUGUCUUGUCAGGGUCUUGUCAGGCAUAAUUUCUGUCCCCUUAAGACCCUUCUUAACUGUUUAAGUUACAGGGUACACCUGUGCUCUACUGCUGACCCUACAGUACAUCCUUAAUAAGAUUAUCUUAUGUUUUACUGAGGGGGGGAGCAAAUUCUUCUAUUCAGUCAGCCUUUGAAAUGCAGAGUAUUUUAUCAAAUGCCAUUUGUGCACAAAUACACAAGAAUGCCCUUCAAACUAGAGUACACUCGCGUACUUUGGGUAAAAUUAAUCAGAUCACAUUUUUUGGUGUCUUGCUCAUUUCUAUCUGCCUUAAAGGCUGUAAUCUUCCAGUGUGAGGUCCAUUCUCAUAAACUAAUCAGGAAUUCUGCUCUUGUCACAUGUACAAUUUACCUUUUUUUUUUUAACAACAUUCUGAAAAGACUGGCUGAGCAUUUCCUAAAUAUUUGAUAUACUGUGACUAGGAAUUUUAAUUGGUGGUUAAUGUAACUUAUCCCUCUACUUUUGGCUAAAGCUUUAGAAAAGAUGCAGCUCUACCCUCUUUACUCAAAGCCCCUGGCACCACAUAAGCAUGAAAAAAUGUACUAUAUUCAUAAUUUCCAGCAGUAAAAGCUGGCAUUUACACAUCAAACCCUAUUCUCCCAUGUGUAAGUCCACUAAACAAGCCUAGGCCCCAAAAGAUAGGCCAGAUUUCUGGUUCCCUACAAGACCACUUAAAUUCCAAUUUGCUAUAAGGCAUAAGGGAUGUUUUUUGUCCAGUAAUACUAAAACAUGUUGCCUAGCCCAGCUUUAACAGUGUUUAGGUCAGGUUAGAACUGUCUGUUUGUGUGUGUAAGACCCUGUUUGGCUCUUGAAGUCUGCUUUCUUUACAGGAGGUUGUGCUGAGUAUGUGAAACAGUUCUAAAAGCACUAGCAGUGACAGAGGAGGUGUUUGACAGCUUUGCGCUCCCAACAUGUCCUCCCGCCUCUGCUUUCCCCCUAAGCCAAAGUGAAAAGACAACAUAGUCUAGCAAUACACAAUCAGUCAGUGGAGUGCUGCCUUUGUCACCAGCAAGAAAUCAGGAAUGAGAUGAGUCAACGAUUUCUUUUCAAUUCUCUCUAUGGUUUGGCAUCUGUGGGCAUCUGUUGUUUGUGCAUGUACUAAGAUGUGUCAGAAACAAUGAGCGAAAACAGUGAAGGACAAACAGCAAGGGAGAUGCUCCGGUUGUAUAAACUUUGGAAAACGUUUUUAUUGGACAAGAGCUUUAGAAAUUAAAAUAUGUCCUUCCAGAGUCACAGCAUUUUAACUUUGCAUUAAAGUUCUUUAAAAAACAAAUCAGUCACUAGAAGCUUGGUGUCAAAGUCAGGACAAAGAGCCACUUGCAGGCACAUACAAACAUCAGUGCGCUACGGAGUACAAACUUGCACAGAGGGUUAUAAUGAGCUGCCUGGAAAAUAAUUUCCAGGUGGCUUUUAGGCACCAACAACUGGAUGUGUUCCUCUUCUGUGAGAAUGUCACGACUCACUCAAUAAAGCCUCUCUUUGACCAAUACAAAAUGCGGGUAGGUCAGGGCUGUAUCAGGGCGCACCAUGUGAUCAUCAAUUUUUUUCACUUGGUCAAAGGCUGAGGGUGGGGUGUCAUCACGAGAUUGCUCUAGUGGAAAAUCUUCCAUGGAGUGAAUUACUGGAGCCAGUGGGGCAUCACGAGAAGGCCUGUCUCUUCCUCCCCACAGUCAGUGUCGCACAACCCUUUGUCAGAGCUGAGACUACAUGCUCAAACUACAAACUCAGAGACUACACGCCACUAAAGGUCAUGAACGCAUCCCCACACAAGGUCCCGACAGGUCAUUAAACUCUGGCUAAUCUGUUUCCAGAAUUAAGAGAUCCGUUAGGCGCGUACUAACUGCUGUCUUUACUCUAUGUGUUUUGACCUUAUAUUUAAUAUGCAGUAGGACUAUGGGAUAUUUGCGGACGUCCCCAUGCAUACACCUAACUUGCACCCACUCUGCCUCCAGCAAUGCCCCCAGUCAAACCAGGGUUUGGUGGAACAGGGUCUACGUGCAGCCUGAGUCCAUAUUGCCUGGCCUAUCUUCCCCAGCAAAAAAGAUUAACUGGUUGAUGCUUGGAUAAUCUGAAUUGACCCCUGGGUUUUAUUUUGAGGUAUAAAGACCGAUUAGCCAUAAAGAUAAGCAGUUUGUUGAGAGCACAUGUCUUAACUUUGGGAAUAUUAAAUUAAUAGGAGUCAAAUCCUACACAGCAUGGGUAUCAUAUUAAAAGUAAACUAAAAGCGAACACUAAAACAAAACCUGUCACAUUUUCUAUUACAUUAGAGUAUGUGGUCACAGAUUUAUAAGCUUAAGGUCUGCACACUGUUUAAUCAGGUCAGCUGGAUUACCUAUGGACCUCUUCACAAAACACAGUGCCCAUGCUGGGUGUCAACACUUCUCACCUCUGUUUCAACAGUGAUGACCCUCUAUGGCGUUAUAAUCCAAGCUUCAGAGGUUUGAUCAGAGUAAGAACCUUAUAAGAGAUCGGAGGUCAGAUGGAUGUCUCAAACAAGAAUGACUUGUGAGGACACAUUAGCGGAGGAUUAAACGCCAUUCUACUCUGUGGUAACAUGUGGUUACCAAAAAGCCACCACAAAAAGGAGUUUACUUCCUGUGGAUGGCAAAAGCUCAUCAGCAGGUUGUGUUUUGGUGGGCUAUCUCUGUGAGAGCACUUUGGUUUGAUAGCUAGUGUGUCUUUUACUUAAAUAUGAACAAUUCUUAUAUACAGAUUUCAACGAUUGUGCUGGUUUUUGCAACAAUUCUCCAGUAAACAAAAACCACAGGCAUUCUGAAAAUAUUCUCCCAGACAGCGAUACGUUACUAAAGCCGUCCUUAUACCUGGGCAGGUUAAUCUGCCUUCAAACUGUUCGGAAUGUGUGUGAGGUGAAAAAGAUUUUACAGGGAAACAAUCAAAGGACUUAGAGACAGUUAAGAAUCUUAACCUCACCAUACCUCUAAAUCCUGCUCCAAUCUUGGGCCACAUCGCUUACUCCCAAGCUGGCUGUAAUUUCAAAUUGUCUGUUGCGGCACGUUCAACAAACAGUCUAGACACUGUGACAGAUCACAGCAGGAAAAUGGAAUAUAAUAAGUGUUAUCAUUUACACAUGUGUUUCCCAAGUCAGAAUGCCUGUCUUAAGAAAUGAAGUAAUGUAUAAAUAGGUUUUUUUUGUAAAUGUAUUUCUUUUUUAAACUAACAUUUUAUAUUUACAACGUAAAACACAUCAUAGAUAAAGAUAUGUCAAAGUAUUUCUAUCCAUCAGAAUUUGGUGUAGUUUGCUGUCUCACUGACUUUAGACAAAGCCUGUCUGCCCAUAAUGUGAUGGAGCAUUAUUCAUUGUAUUUGGGACACUUGAGCACAUUGACACCUGGCUCAGAGUUAAAUGGAUUUUGUGAUCAACAGGCAAACCUUUCUCAAGCAGUUCACCUAUUCCUGGAAAAGAGAAUAUGGCUGGAGGGCUUGAGGAUACAGUGAGUAAGCCACACAGUAUUUGAACACAAUCCAGCACACAUUUUUUGGAGAGAGACCAGGGGGAGAAAAUGAGGGCACGUCAUUUUACAUCAUGUGGAGAAGUCUCUCUCGUCAUAACACUUACUCUAGAGCCUCCCAAGAGUGGCGCAGGGCAAGCCAUUAAAGGUCUGCUGAGAUGCUGCCCGAAGGAGACGGGACACUUGGAGAGAAACAAGUCAAUUAGUGAGAGUGUGAAGGUGGCAGGCCUGUUUUCAGAACAAAGUGCAUCGGGAUUUGGUGAGGAUGGUACCCUUCAUGGCAGCUACCCUUGGAAAAAACUAUUCUAAUGGUGAUCAAACCAGAUCCAACAGUAUGGGGGAAGGAAGGAAUAAAAGGGUACAUCCGCGGACUAGAGAUGCAGUUUGAAUGUAUUCAUGGCAUUUUUGCUCCUCACUUUUUUUUCCAGAUUUCCUUGGAAUAUGGAACAGAUGUACCUGAUCUUCUCUGUUCCUUUUCUUCUAGCAGGACAUGUCUGACUUUUAGUAUUGUCUUUUCUGCUGUUUGAUUAUAAAUUAGAUAGCAAUUAACUGGCAACUACAACUGUCAGAGUGACAAGUACAAAACUAAAAGUACAUUAGUCUCCAAAACACAGUGGAAUUUAAGGAAGAAGCAUAACCUGGAAAUAUGCAAGUGCAUCAAUAUUGUAGAACAUUUGUGUAAAUGCACUUAACGACAUUCCUGUAGCUGUCACAUUCAGUUUGCUCUCCACCGCCCUCCUUGACUGGCUCUGAUCAUACUUAUUUGUAAGAAAUUCAGACAGGCGGAGCAGAGAGAAAUGCGGUGGACACAGUGAUGCUUCGCUGGCUGAUGUACAGCGACAGACUGCAGUAAAAGGGGAACAUUGCAUGUUAGGUGGGUCAGCAGAUGCCAAGCUGACAGUCGAUGAAAUAUUUAAGUCAACACAAUGCUAUCAUGGAUCUGAUGUCUGUAACGUGUAAGUGAAAUGCAAAGUAGAGAGUGUGUCAGAGUGCAUCUUACUACAAAAGACUUAUUUCUUUCUAACUAUAAAUGAUGGUAUGUAGUAUGAGAAAUUACAUUUAACUAUAAAUAAAAUUCCCCUGU